GCACCAUCCUGCCUCCAUGAGGGAUAAAUGUGGCCUCCCUGUCCUGAGCCCUGCAGAUCCGCUGAAGAGCUUCGGCCAGAGUGGUUCAAAACCUACAAGUUCAGGAAACAGUAAGGGGAAAACAAUGCUGGACAACUGUGGGAAGAUGUCGGCGAUGGAAGUCCCACCCUGUUGCUGGAGAGUCAUGGAGAACAGUAUGUCCAGUGAACAUUGAGACUCUUCCACGGAAGAAGGUUCUGUGGACCAAGUGCUGGUGUCACAGUUGGUGUCCCCCUGGGAAAUUAAGGAGAUCAGAAGAAGGUGUUGUAUCCCCCAGGAGAUGAAUUGAAGGAUGGUUGUGCACCACCAUAAGGAUGCUCAGAAUGGAACUCAGGUAAUUUGAAUGAGCAACAAGUACUCUUAACUGCCAAACUUGCUCUCCAGCCCCAGUCUGUGUAUUCUUAAGGUUAUGGUAGAUCUCCAGACCUUACCCUCCUGUGCCAACAUUUACUGUCACUCGGUAUCCACAUGGCUGUCAUUGUCUCUCUGCUUCUUCAGUGUCAUCAUUAAUCUUGGAGACUUGACCAGAUUGAGAGCCAUUCAGAAAACUGAGGUAAAAAGAAAACAAAAACCUCAAGCUCCAAGGACAGGCUUCUCUACUGGAAUGACAGCUUCCUGAGAGGCUUGAGUGCCCCUGGCACUG